AACGAACGCUGGCGGCAUGCCUAACACAUGCAAGUCGAACGAGACCUUCGGGCCUAGUGGCGCACGGGUGCGUAACGCGUGGGAACCUGCCCUUAGGUUCGGAAUAACUCCCCGAAAGGGGUGCUAAUACCGGAUAAUGUCUUCGGACCAAAGAUUUAUCGCCUUUGGAUGGGCCCGCGUUGGAUUAGCUAGUUGGUAGGGUAAAAGCCUACCAAGGCGACGAUCCAUAGCUGGUCUGAGAGGAUGAUCAGCCACACUGGGACUGAGACACGGCCCAGACUCCUACGGGAGGCAGCAGUGGGGAAUAUUGGACAAUGGGCGAAAGCCUGAUCCGGCAAUGCCGCGUGAGUGAUGAAGGCCUUAGGGUUGUAAAGCUCUUUUACCCGGGAUGAUAAUGACAGUACCGGGAGAAUAAGCUCCGGCUAACUCCGUG
rnacentral:rRNA from 1 species